rnacentral:rRNA from 1 species
AGAGUUUGAUCCUGGCUCAGGAUGACCUCUAGCGGCAGGCUUAACACAUGCAAGUCGAGGGGCAGCGGGGAGGAAGCUUGCUUUCUCCGCCGGCGACCGGCGCACGGGUGAGUAACACGUAUGCAACCUGCCCCUGUCAGGGGGACAACCCGCCGAAAGGCGGGCUAAACCCGCGUACAUGCCACCGGGGCAUCCCGGAGGCAGGAAAGGCUUCGGCCGGACAGGGAUGGGCAUGCGGCGCAUUAGGCAGUAGGCGGGGUAACGGCCCACCUAACCGACGAUGCGUAGGGGUUCUGAGAGGAAGGUCCCCCACACUGGUACUGAGACACGGACCAGACUCCUACGGGAGGCAGCAGUGAGGAAUAUUGGUCAAUGGUCGGGAGACUGAACCAGCCAAGCCGCGUGAGGGAGGAAGGUACAGAGUAUCGUAAACCUCUUUUGUCAGGGAACAAAGGCGGGGACGUGUCCCCGGAUGAGUGUACCUGAAGAAAAAGCAUCGGCUAACUCCGUGCCAGCAGCCGCGGUAAUACGGAGGAUGCGAGCGUUAUCCGGAUUUAUUGGGUUUAAAGGGUGCGCAGGCGGUCUGUUAAGUCAGCGGUCAAAGCCCGGGGCUCAACCCCGGCCCGCCGUUGAAACUGGCAGUCUCGAGUUGGAGAGAAGUAUGCGGAAUGCGCGGUGUAGCGGUGAAAUGCAUAGAUAUCGCGCAGAACUCCGAUUGCGAAGGCAGCAUGCCCGGCUCCACACUGACGCUGAGGCACGAAAGCGUGGGGUAUCGAACAGGAUUAGAUACCCUGGUAGUCCACGCAGUAAACGAUGAAUGCUGGCUGUCCGGGGGGAUUGACCCCUGGGUGGCGAAGCGAAAGCGAUAAGCAUUCCACCUGGGGAGUACGCCGGCAACGGUGAAACUCAAAGGAAUUGACGGGGGCCCGCACAAGCGGAGGAACAUGUGGUUUAAUUCGAUGAUACGCGAGGAACCUUACCCGGGCUCAAACGGGGAGUGACUCAGGCAGAGACGCCUGUUUCCCACGGGACACUCCCCGAGGUGCUGCAUGGUUGUCGUCAGCUCGUGCCGUGAGGUGUCGGCUUAAGUGCCAUAACGAGCGCAACCCCCGCGUGCAGUUGCUAACAGAUAACGCUGAGGACUCUGCACGGACUGCCGGCGCAAGCCGCGAGGAAGGCGGGGAUGACGUCAAAUCAGCACGGCCCUUACGUCCGGGGCGACACACGUGUUACAAUGGGUGGUACAGCGGGAAGCCAGGCGGCGACGCCGAGCGGAACCCGAAAUCCACUCUCAGUUCGGAUCGGAGUCUGCAACCCGACUCCGUGAAGCUGGAUUCGCUAGUAAUCGCGCAUCAGCCAUGGCGCGGUGAAUACGUUCCCGGGCCUUGCACACACCGCCCGUCA